CCUUUUGGAGCUUGGUGAAGUCCACAGACUUGUUGUGAGAAAGGCCUGGAAGAUUUGCCGGACCUGAGGCAACAUGUCAACAACUGAGAGUGGUGAACUCUGUAAUGUGCCUUUGCUGUAUGACUUAUGAUUAUUCAGUUCCGCUCAAGAAAGAAAGUGAAACAAAGAAAGAGGAUAAAUGAAACUGGGUGGAGAUGCAAGUAGCUUGUGAGACAUAGGCAGAAUUUACAUGAUGAGCAUGGUAAAACUAAGUGGAUUAGUAACCCCUGAGUCAUAGUGGCCAUCAACAAAGUAGAGAAUGUGCAUGCUGAACACAGAUAGGAGGGAGGAAUGGAAAGAGGUGAUAUUGA
rnacentral:lncRNA from 1 species